rnacentral:lncRNA from 1 species
UUUUUGCGGUACUACAUAUUUCUAAUACGAGAAGGGUGUGAUUAUUUUGCAGCUAAUUCUUCAUUUUAUAUAUGUGGAAAGUUGGUCAAGUUCUCUUUUUUUAUUAUUGAGAAGUUCAGCAUGCUGUGAAUUGUUAGUUUGAACCUGAUUUCUCUUCUGCCAUUAUCAAUGAGUGCCUUUAUCAAUUCAUUGAUUCGAUCUACUUUUUGAAACACUUUUCUGUGCUUGGCAGAAUAUCUUCUUGUAGGUCAUUAUUAAUGCAUGGAUGGUGGUGUAGAGCCGAGUACGUACGUGUUAGAGGAAACGUUUUUGUGUACUGUGCUUUUGGAUGGCCAUAAUAUGCAAUUGUCAAAUAUGUCGAUUUGGUACUGGAUGAUAAUGAUCUGAGAUUUGGAUUGUCCUAAUUGAAGGAGUUUCAUGGAUUAUAAUUUUGAACCUGAUUUCUCUUCUGCCAUUAUCAAUGAGUGCCUUUAUCAAUUCAUUGAUUCGAUCUAUUUUUUGGAACACUUUUCUGUGCUUGGCAGAAUAUCUUCUUGUAGGUCAUUAUUAAUGCUUGGAUGGUGGUGUAGAGCCGAGUCUGUACGU